rnacentral:tRNA from 1 species
UGGGGUGUAGCUCAGUAGUAAAGCACUUGCCUAGCAUGCAUGAGGCCCUGGGUUUCACCCCCAGCAAUCAAA